UACGUAGGGUGCGAGCGUUAAUCGGAAUUACUGGGCGUAAAGCGUGCGCAGGCGGUUCGUUAAGUCAGAUGUGAAAGCCCGGCUCAACCUGGGAACUGCAUUGAACUGGCGGCUUGAGUAUGGCAGAGGGGUGGAAUCCGCGUGUAGCAGUGAAUGCGUAGAGAUGCGGAGGAACACCGAUGGCGAAGGCAGCCCCUGGCCAAUACUGACGCUCAGCACGAAGCGUGGGAGCAACAGG
rnacentral:rRNA from 1 species